GAAGGACUUUUUCACAGUGACUCUGCAUAGUGGGCCAUUCCUGGGAGAAGAAAAACAUUUAUUGCAGAGGUGAUGCAGAACCAUGAUACAGAUCCUGAAGUGCAACGUUGAUCUGAGCUGCUGCUGCCUCCGCCUGAUCCUCAACCAGCUUCCUCACAGACAGACCCCUCUCCGUGUCUCUUACCAUCUCAGCCAGAGUCGUGUUCCUGAUCAAACAGGGUCUGGAGGGAAACCUCUGUCCACAUUC